AAAAUAAUUUAUUUUUUUUGUUUAUAUAUUUAGGGAGAUGGUAAAAAGUCUAAAAAAUCAAAGCUUCGUUUGACUGUUGAUGAUAUUCAAGAUAGUCCUGAAACUGACAAAACACGACGGC
rnacentral:sRNA from 1 species